rnacentral:rRNA from 1 species
UAAUACGUAGGGUGCGAGCGUUAAUCGGAAUUACUGGGCGUAAAGGGUGCGCAGGCGGUCUUGCAAGUCAGAUGUGAAAGCCCCGGGCUUAACCUGGGAAUUGCGUUUGAAACUACAAGGCUAGAGUGCAGCAGAGGGGAGUGGAAUUCCAUGUGUAGCAGUGAAAUGCGUAGAGAUGUGGAAGAACACCGAUGGCGAAGGCAGCUCCCUGGGUUGACACUGACGCUCAUGCACGAAAGCGUGGGGAGCAAACAGGAUUAGAUACCCUGGUAGUCCACGCCCUAAACGAUGUCAACUAGUUGUCGGAUCUAAUUAAGGAUUUGGUAACGUAGCUAACGCGUGAAGUUGACCGCCUGGGGAGUACGGUCGCAAGAUUAAAACUUAAAUGAAUUGACGG